UACGAGAGGCCCAAACGUUAUUCGGAAUUACUGGGCUUAAAGAGUUCGUAGGCGGCGCAGAAAGUAGGGUGUGAAAGCCCUCGGCUUAACCGAGGAAUUGCGCUCUAAACUACUGUGCUUGAGGAACCUAGAGGUGAGCAGAACAGAUGGUGGAGCGGUGAAAUGCGUUGAUAUCAUCUGGAAUACCGGAGGCGAAGGCGGCUCACUGGGGGUUUUCUGACGCUGAGGCGCGAAAGCCAGGGGAGCAAACGGG
rnacentral:rRNA from 1 species